UAGUUCAGUCGCCUUCUCCUUCUCAAAUGUCUCAAAAUACUGGUAAAUGAUUGUUACAGCAAGAAGAAUUCCAGUUCCUGAUCCAAUUGCUCCCAUCAAGUCUGCCAAAACUGUCAACGCACCAAUGCAUACUCCUCCGAAGGCAGCUGCGGUAGGAAUGUAACGAUUUAAUUCUUUCUGCAGGUUUGAAUCACGAUGCCCAGGCAUCACCAUUUGUUGCUCCUGUAAAACAAAUACCAUUAGAAGUGUCAUACCACUAAUACAUUAAGAAGUGUCAUACCAGUAAUACUCGUGGAGUCAUAGGCAACGAGAACAUAACAAACUUUUUACCGCCAAAGAGAAUAAUUGUAAUAUUUCCAGUGGCGAUUGAAAGAGUCACAAAAAUAAGUUUUUGUUUUGUUUUGGUAUAUCUUUAUUGAAAAACAAACUGAGCGUUUGAGUUGAGAUUUGGAGAAAUUGUGGUGUAUGUGGUUGGAAAAGAAUCUAACCAAAUCAGUCUUCUGGACUGAUUAAAAUCGAGAAAACAAAAAUAAAAACAGUUACUAUUAUUUUCUGAAAAAUACUGGUUCUGGAAAUACACAAAACCUUUGUCAUUAGGUACUAUGACCACUCUUUCUAUAUUAUAAACCAUGUGAGACAACCAUGCUCCAAAAACCUACAUCUUUCACUAAUAGGCAAACUAACCAGGGUUUUACAGUGAUUCAGUUAUACAGAGAGAUGUGGGACAUUGCUUAGUCAAAUAGUAUGAAUUUUCAUUAGUAUUUUAUGAGCAGUUAGCACAAUGGAAAGAUAAACUCUGCUGUCUUUUUCAACUUAUGGUGCCUGGAAGUAACUAGUUCUUGACAAUUAAGUAAUCUAUAGCAUUUAUUUCUUCUCAUAAUCUACAGUAGGGGGGCAAAGUUAGAACCCCAGUAAGAAAGUUAACAUUAGAAGUCUGAUCAAGUUGAAUUUUGAUUAGUAUUACCAUCAAAUCACUUGGAUAGAGUAAAUAGAUUGGGAGACUGAAAGACUACCCAGCAAAAGCAAAUGCUACAAGAUCAUUUACCUUAAGCUGCUUGGCAACAUCUCUGGCGGAUGAUCCAGAAACUUCAAUCCAAGUCUUCGAGAACAGGGCACAAGCUGACAACAUGAAAACUAUAUAGAAAAGAGCAUGGAAUGGAUGUGCUACCAUUUCUGCCAAGCUGAAAUGCAUGAAAGUUGACGGUCAAUUGCAAUUGAGUAAGAAGCAAUAAGUAUAAGAUGUGGGGCUAACCCUAGAUCUGUGAAGAACAUUAACAGCAAAUAGAAAUUGAUUAGCUGAAGCAAAAGGAUAAAAUACCUUGAUGGAGCAGUAACAAGGUAAGCAAGACCAGCAACAGGAACAGAUUGACCAGAAUAUUCAGAUUCCUUCCAGGUUCCUAUCAAAUUCACGAUGAUAUUUCCACCGUACCUCCUGUAGAGCAACUGAUCAUAGAGUAAAGAGAAGAGGAAAAAGAAAAUAACUUGUUAACACUCUUGAAACAGGUAAGUAACAGUAAGGUGUCAAUUCAAAUAAAAGAACUUUACAAUUAGGUACCUGAGAUAUGAAAUAAAGGUUGGAGACAAGUGCGGACUGAAGAAUAAUAGGCAUGUUUGAGGUGUAGAAGAGUUUGAUUGGGUAAGAACCUUGCUGUCCGCGAGCAUUCUUAGAUCUAACUGGCAAAACUAC
rnacentral:lncRNA from 1 species